GUUAUUGUUAAGAUCAAAGAACAUUUACAAAUCGUUCUAAAAAGUAUUAAAAUUGUAUCUUCUUGAUAUGUCUGAUUAAUUCUUGGUUAAUGUUUAUUGCGAUCCUUAUUCACAAAUAUACUCACUGAUCAGGGAAUUGUUGACAUCUGAUGAGGCCACAGCAAAUAGCAGGAUAAACUUAAUUAGAAAAAGACCCUUCACUUGUGUUUAAACUCUCCAUUACCAAAUUCGUAAAUAACCCUUCAGUUAAUAUGACUGGGGAUAUUUUGUCAGUAUAUUAAAC